rnacentral:rRNA from 1 species
UACGAAGGGGGCUAGCGUUGCUCGGAAUUACUGGGCGUAAAGGGCGCGUAGGCGGAUAUUUAAGUCGGGUGUGAAAGCCCGGGGCUCAACCUCGGAAUUGCCUUCGAUACUGGAUAUCUUGAGUUCGGGAGAGGUGAGUGGAAUGCCGAGUGUAGAGGUGAAAUUCGUAGAUAUUCGGCGGAACACCAGUGGCGAAGGCGACUCACUGGCCCGAUACUGACGCUGAGGCGCGAAAGCGUGGGGAGCAAACAGG